UACGAGGGGGGCGAGCGUUGUUCGGAAUUAUUGGGCGUAAAGGGUGCGUAGGCGGUUCCGCAAGUCCUGUGUGAAAUCUUCGGGCUUAACUCGAAGCCUGCACGGGAAACUGCGGGGCUUGAGUGUGGGAGAGGUGAGUGGAAUUCCCGGUGUAGCGGUGAAAUGCGUAGAUAUCGGGGGGAACACCUGUGGCGAAAGCGGCUCACUGGACCAUAACUGACGCUGAUGCACGAAAGCUGGGGGAGCAAACAGG
rnacentral:rRNA from 1 species